GCUAACUACGGCUCAGGAGGCGGGGGAGUACGUGGGGGGCAAGUGUUGUUCGGAAUUAUUGUGCGUAAAGAGCGCGUAGGCGGUUUUGUAAGUCGGAUGUGAAAGCCCACGGCUCAACCGUGGAGGGUCAUUGGAAACUGGAAAACUUGAGUGCAGAAGAGGAAAGUGGAAUUCCAUGUGUAGCGGUGAAAUGCGCAGAGAUAUGGAGGAACACCAGUGGCGAAGGCGACUUUCUGGUCUGCAACUGACGCUGAUGUGCGAAAGCGUGGGGAUCAAACAGGAUUAGAUACCCGGGUAGUC
rnacentral:rRNA from 1 species